rnacentral:ncRNA from 2 species
GGAUUUCUUCGGGGCAGGGUGAAAUUCCCAACCGACGGUAACAAGGAGUAACUUGGAGUCCGUGACCCGUUGAUGUUGUAAUCAACGGCUGAACCAGUGUAAGUCUGGAUGGGAGAAGAAAUAA